UCCCUCUCUCCCUGUAUCAGUGUCUCUCAGCUCAUCUCUGCUCCUCUCUUCUCCACCAGGUCCCUCUCUCUCUCUUCUGUCCCUCUCUCCCUGUAUCAGUGUCUCUCAGCUCAUCUCUGCUCCUCUCUUCUCCACCAGGUCCCUCUCUCUCUCUACUGUCCCUCUCUCCCUGUAUCAGUGUCUCUCAGCUCAUCUCUGCUCCUCUCUUCUCCACCAGGUCCCUCUCUCUCUCUUCUGUCCCUCUCUCCCUGUAUCAGUGUCUCUCAGCUCAUCUCUGCCUCUCUCUCUCUCUCUUCUGUCCCUCUCUCCCUGUAUCAGUGUCUCUCAGCUCAUCUCUGCUCCUCUCUUCUCCACCAGGUCCCUCUCUCUCUCUUCUGUCCCUCUCUCCCUGUAUCAGUGUCUCUCAGCUCAUCUCUGCUCCUCUCUUCUCCACCAGGUCCCUCUCUCUCUCUUCUGUCCCUCUCUCCCUGUAUCAGUGUCUCUCAGCUCAUCUCUGCUCCUCUCUUCUCCACCAGGUCCCUCUCUCUCUCUUCUGUCCCUCUCUCCCUGUAUCAGUGUCUCUCAGCUCAUCUCUGCUCCUCUCUUCUCCACCAGGUCCCUCUCUCUCUCUUCUGUCCCUCUCUCCCUGUAUCAGUGUCUCUCAGCUCAUCUCUGCUCCUCUCUUCUCCACCAGGUCCCUCUCUCUCUCUACUGUCCCUCUCUCCCUGUAUCAGUGUCUCUCAGCUCAUCUCUGCUCCUCUCUUCUCCACCAGGUCCCUCUCUCUCUACUGUCCCUCUCUCCCUGUAUC